rnacentral:rRNA from 1 species
ACGCUCGACACCUACGGAGGCAGCAGUAGGGAAUCUUCCACAAUGGACGCAAGUCUGAUGGAGCAACGCCGCGUGAGUGAAGAAGGUCUUCGGAUCGUAAAACUCUGUUGUUAGAGAAGAACACGAGUGAGAGUAACUGUUCAUUCGAUGACGGUAUCUAACCAGCAAGUCACGGCUAACUACGUGCCAGCAGCCGNGGUAAUCUGAGGCGGCUGGACGAAGGC